UCCAGACUCCUACGGGAGGCAGCAGUGGGGAAUAUUGCACAAUGGGGGGAACCCUGAUGCAGCGACGCCGCGUGGGUGAAGGAGUACUUCGGUACGUAAAGCCCUAUCAGCAGGAAAGAAAAUGACGGUACCUGACUAAGAAGCCCCGGCUAACUACGUGCCAGCAGCCGCGGUAAUACGUAGGGGGCAAGCGUUAUCCGGAUUUACUGGGUGUAAAGGGAGCGUAGACGGCAGUGCAAGUCCGGAGUGAAAGCCCGGGGCCCAACCCCGGGACUGCCCUUGGAACUGCAUGGCUGGAGUGCGGGAGGGGCAGGCGGAAUUCCUGGUGUAGCGGUGAAAUGCGUAGAUAUCAGGAGGAACACCGGCGGCGAAGGCGGCCUGCUGGACCGCGACUGACGUUGAGGCUCGAAAGUGUGGGGAGCGAACAGGAUUAGAUACCCGGGUACC
rnacentral:rRNA from 1 species